rnacentral:rRNA from 1 species
GACGAACGCUGGCGGCGUGCCUAAUACAUGCAAGUCGAGCGAGCUUGCCUAGAUGAUUUUAGUGCUUGCACUAAAUGAAACUAGAUACAAGCGAGCGGCGGACGGGUGAGUAACACGUGGGUAACCUGCCCAAGAGACUGGGAUAACACCUGGAAACAGAUGCUAAUACCGGAUAACAACACUAGACGCAUGUCUAGAGUUUGAAAGAUGGUUCUGCUAUCACUCUUGGAUGGACCUGCGGUGCAUUAGCUAGUUGGUAAGGUAACGGCUUACCAAGGCAAUGAUGCAUAGCCGAGUUGAGAGACUGAUCGGCCACAUUGGGACUGAGACACGGCCCAAACUCCUACGGGAGGCAGCAGUAGGGAAUCUUCCACAAAGGACGAAAGUCUGAUGGAGCAACGCCGCGUGAGUGAAGAAGGGUUUCGGCUCGUAAAGCUCUGUUGGUAGUGAAGAAAGAUAGAGGUAGUAACUGGCCUUUAUUUGACGGUAAUUACUUAGAAAGUCACGGCUAACUACGUG